rnacentral:lncRNA from 1 species
GUUUAAUCUAAAAAAACAAUCAAGUUGUUUCCCUUCAAAAGACUGAGUAACACAGAGCUGCCAGACUGGACCGCAAGAUUCAGGCACGAAGAAAGGAUUCUGAGUUUUGUUUCACAUCAAUAUUUAUUACUGUAUCAGCAGCUACAUUUGAUGUGCUUAUAAUUUAUUAGUAGUCUUGAUCUGGAGGCAGAAACAGAUUCCAUAAUUCUUGUGAAUCACAUGUCCUCCAGGCAUUUUUUUUUUAAUCUAACUUUUGUUUACUGUCGCUUGUCCUGAACAUUUCACAUUGCUGUUCAUAAAGAAGCAGUUCACAGAAAACUAGUAACUGGCCUACCCCAAUAUUUUCCGUUUUAUUAGUCAAUGGGAGUCGGCUUUAAACUAUCCAGAGUAUAAUUUAUAACCGGAACAGACAAUUUAAUCAUUUUAGGAUGUGUUCAAGCACAGCUCAAAGUUUUAACAAGGCUGCUCCUUUAUUCCAGAGCCCCUCCCUGUCAAGAAGGCGCUUGUGCUUUAACAGAGAAAAUAGUCCUUCUUUACAGUUGUCCAUUGAGGUGAAAUGUGCAUUGAAACACUUUGUGAGAAAAGUAAUGCAGGAAGUAAAGUAAAUCUCUGAGAAGGAAAAAAAACUGGGAGUCUUUUGAGGUGGGAUGAAAAUUCAGUGAAAAGAUGGCAUAAUUAUUUUGACAGUAGGUGGGAUCUCUGAACUGUUAAUUAAGAGACUCACCAUUAAGACCGUGAAGACUCAAGUUUCUAGAGGUUUACUGAUUCUUUUCUGGUAUUUUUGAGAAGAUUUGAUUAUAUGGUACUAUUUUUAAAUGUCAUUUUAUAGCUUUAAAACAUGACAGAGGAAGCACCUUAACAAAAUGCUCAUCCCUGAGGGGACAAGAAUAAAAACCACUGCGUGCCAGAUUUUCACUUUACAUAACUCAAACUAUUUACCCUGUGGACAAAAGACCGUUCCUUAUGAGAAAUAGUGACAUAAUGAAACAUGCCUAUGCUAGGCCAGCUAAUAAAUCCUGUAAUUUGGUGCCCUAGGCAACAGAAUGGUAUCUUCAGCUGAUGGGAUAAAUGCUUGGAUGGACAGACAGAAGAAUGAACUGAUGGAUAGAUGGGCAGGCAUUAUUAGUACUCAUGUAGACAAAUAUCACCUAAUAUUAGCUAGGUCAUGUCCAUGUCAAAUAGAAAAAAAGCAAGAACUAAGAGAAUAGCAGACUGGUAGAUGGGUUACACCCUCACUGACAACAGCAGAAAUACCUCGAGGAAUACUCUGAGUUCUUUCUGGCAGGAGCUUUGUCUUCUUCUUCUUCAUAUCCUCAGCAUCUAAGAUUGUUGCUCUCAUUCAGUAGUAGUUCAAUAAUGUUAGAUAAAUGGAGGUAAAAGAAAAGGAAUAAGGAAGGACUCCUAGAUGCAAAUGCUAUCAAAUGCAUUCAGUGAACAAGAAUGGGAUUUUUCCUUUAGAGCUGAAAAGAAUCUUAAUAUCGAAGAAGAUGAAUGACCAGAAUGGAAAUAAGUCCUUCAAGAUGCUAUUCUGAAGCAGCCUGUCUAGAAAGCCCUGAAGAAACCUUGAUGAAGGGCAGGGAUGCUGGAGACAAGACUGUGGAAUGGGUAAAAUGUGCAGGGCUGUGAAAUGAGACAAGGCAACGGGCAGGAGCGCAGAGACCAGAGAAAACCAGAUGUGCUGUCCUUAGCUGGGAAGUCCCGGACAAACCCGUGGGCCUCAGUUUCUUAUUAGGUAAAAUAGAGGUAAACUAAUUCACCCCUUAGAUCCUUUCCAAGGUCUGAUGUUCAUUUUUACAAUCCUUAUGUUCCAUUCUUGAAAUCCCUUGUCUGACUCCCUAGAAAUAAAGAUGACUCAUUAUUUUCUCUUUUGGGGAAGGGAGGCAGAGAGCAGAAAUGUUGCUUAUCAUAUUACUUUGUCCAGCUAUGUUAUGAUUUGAAAAGUUUUUCUUUUUUGUCAAUGUGAUGUUAUUAUAUGAAACCCUAAAAAGCUAACUCUAUGUAGGAUUUCUUAAAAGUAACACCUGGAAAAAAUUGGAUUUGAGACAAAAAAAAAUUGCUUUAAAAGAAACUUCUCUAAAAACAUGUCUGUAUUUUGGUAUGCAUUUGCAACUACAUAUGCCAAGUGCCAAAAACUUUGUGUUCUCUGUUUUUUAAUAAAAAUUAUUCAGUAAAAUUGAGCAUUGGGAUACAUAACAGAGCCUUACGUUUCAUUGUCUUAAGCUUUCAGACUGGGAAUUUCCACCUCCUCAAUCAAGAAUCUGGUGAGCACAUCCUCAUCCCCAGAUUUGGCAGUCUGCAAUUUCCAGUGCAAUUCAUACUCUCCAUGUAACCGUAGCUUUCUUUCUAGAUAGUUGCACUGAUGCACACACAGAAUGCAGAGUACUGGAUACUCGUAACCUGAAUAUUUGUUUCUAUUAUAGGAGGCUGGCAACAAAAUGUUUCUGUUAGUGGAAAGUGACAGUUAUAAAUUGAUUUUCAGAGAGGAAAUGAAGACUCGGAGAGAAGGACCAAAAGUCAACACAAGGCAUGAACCCUCCGUGACAGUUCCAGGCCUGGAGCUCCAGUCUGGAGUGUGCAUUCUCAGUGCCCAGUUAUCUGUGGAUGCAGUAUGCUUCAAAUGAUGAAAAAUGAGCUUUUUUCUUCAGAACACUUUUUGUCUGAUAGCAUCAGCAGAGAGCCAGGCAGAGGAUCAAAGGUGGAACAUGACAGGCCCCUCUCUCUUUCUUCAUCCAAAUGGCUACUGCUCUGAUUGUCCAUUAUUCGAUCAACUAUUAACCCCAGGGAACAAAAUCUAGAAUUUCCUAGGAAGGCAUUAUUAGCCUCUUUUCCUGCAGACAUUGUGGUGCAUCUUGGGAAGAGAAACUCAAAUUAGCCACCAAAAGGGGUAAACCAAAUAAAGGAUAUGAGAAGCCCAAAGCCAAUUUCUUCUUGCCUGAAGGAUUGUGACAGCAAGAUAUCAGAGAGGGGCCUGAGGGGAGAGUGGCCCCCUGGCACUGAGGUUCGCAUGCUGGGCAGAAGUUCACAUGCCCCAUGGAUGACAUAGACGUGGUGAUGACCGUGAGAGCCUGGCUUUCCGCAUCUCAGCAGCUGUCAACGUUUCCAGAUGACUGGCGCUCGCCCUCUCCCCACGCCCCACGCCAAACAAAGCUCCCAAACUUUGCUGCAGUAUUUGACCUUGGAGCAGAAGAGAGAAAGUCCAAAUACUGACUGAGGUUGGAUUUCCUGACAGCCUUUCUGGGUGGCUGCUUGGAGUCAAGUUUAAGUUAAUUAAAGAAAAUAAGUUGCCCAAGUGUUUUGAAUGGAGCCCAUUGCACCUCUCACAGUCUAACAGAAUUAGGACUAAUACAAGAUUGGCCCGUCAGCCCUGCAUUUCCCAUAGCCGGCCCACCACUCUUGAAGCCGCAUCAGGACCUGACAGCCAUUAUGCCAGUAUUGUCUGCUUGUUGUUUGUAAUUGCCCCAUUGGCCUAUAUGCACUAAUAUUAAGAUCUGUAUUUUUGAUUUUUACUUUAUUUCUCUGAUUAUUGAAAUAAAAUAUGUUCACU